GGUUGAAAAAAGGCAAGUAGAGAAAUGCAACGAGCUGCGCGAGAACAUCCUGAUCCGAGGCUCAGCGCAAAUCAGCAUGUUCCUGCAGAAAAAUCCAGCUCAACCACCAUAAGGCAGUUUCAUCAAAGGUUGCAUAUGAGCCUGACGUGCUUGAAAAUGUCAAUGGUAAGUGCAUAGCCCCUGUCUCUUUAGGUAUUACACACACAUAUGUGACAUACACACUUUAUAACUUUCAAAAAUGCCUAGUUUAGAAUUACUUAGAGACAGCACUGAAAAGCUAA